rnacentral:rRNA from 1 species
UACAGAGGGUGCGAGCGUUAAUCGGAAUUACUGGGCGUAAAGCGUGCGCAGGCGGUUUUGUAAGUCAGAUGUGAAAUCCCCGGGCUUAACCUGGGAAUGGCAUUUGGGACUGCAAGGCUGGAGUUUGGCAGAGGAGACUGGAAUUCCCGGUGUAGCAGUGAAAUGCGUAGAUAUCGGGAGGAAUACCGAUGGCGAAGGCAGGUCUCUGGGCUAUAACUGACGCUCAUGCACGAAAGCGUGGGGAGCAAACAGG